AGUGAACGCUGGCGGUAGGCCUAACACAUGCAAGUCGAACGGCAGCACAGUAAGAGCUUGCUCUUACGGGUGGCGAGUGGCGGACGGGUGAGGAAUACAUCGGAAUCUACUUUUUCGUGGGGGAUAACGUAGGGAAACUUACGCUAAUACCGCAUACGACCUACGGGUGAAAGCAGGGGAUCUUCGGACCUUGCGCGAUUGAAUGAGCCGAUGUCGGAUUAGCUAGUUGGCGGGGUAAAGGCCCACCAGGGCGACGAUCCGUAGCUGGUCUGAGAGGAUGAUCAGCCACACUGGAACUGAGACACAGUCCAGACUCCUACGGGAGGCAGCAGUGGGGAAUAUUGGACAAUGGGCGCAAGCCUGAUCCAGCCAUACCGCGUGGGUGAAGAAGGCCUUCGGGUUGUAAAGCCCUUUUGUUGGGAAAGAAAAGCAGCAGGUUAAUACCCCGCUGUUCUGACGGUACCCAAAGAAUAAGCACCGGCUAACUUCGUG
rnacentral:rRNA from 1 species